rnacentral:rRNA from 1 species
GAUGAACGCUGGCGGCGUGCCUAAUACAUGCAAGUCGAGCGAACGGACGAGAAGCUUGCUCCUCUGAUGUUAGCGGCGGACGGGUGAGUAACACGUGGAUAACCUACCUAUAAUACUUGGAUAACUUCGGGAAACCGGAGCUAAUACCGGAUAAUAUUUUGAACCGCAUGGUUCAAAAGUGAAAGACGGUCUUGCUGUCACUUAUAGAUGGAUCCGCGCUGCAUUAGCUAGUUGGUAAGGUAACGGCUUACCAAGGCAACGAUGCAUAGCCGACCUGAGAGGGUGAUCGGCCACACUGGAACUGAGACACGGUCCAGACUCCUACGGGAGGCAGCAGUAGGGAAUCUUCCGCAAUGGGCGAAAGCCUGACGGAGCAACGCCGCGUGAGUGAUGAAGGUCUUCGGAUCGUAAAACUCUGUUAUUAGGGAAGAACAUAUGUGUAAGUAACUGUGCACAUCUUGACGGUACCUAAUCAGAAAGCCACGGCUAACUACGUG